rnacentral:lncRNA from 1 species
GCUCUUCGCGCGGAUCGUGCGCGCCGGCCGGGUCAAGGAGGACGUCGCGAGGCGCUACUUCCGCCAGCUCAUCUCCGCCGUCGACUUCUGCCACGCGCGCGGCGUGUACCACCGCGACCUCAAGCCGGAGAACCUCCUCAUCGACGAAGCGGGGAACCUCAAGGUCGUCGACUUCGGCCUCAGCGCGCUCGCCGACCACGCGCGCAGCGAUGGAUUGCUGCACACGCUCUGCGGGACGCCGGGGUACGUCGCGCCGGAGGUGUUCCGGAACAAGGGCUACG